rnacentral:rRNA from 1 species
ACGAAGGGGGCUAGCGUUGUUCGGAUUUACUGGGCGUAAAGCGCACGUAGGCGGAUCUUUAAGUCAGGGGUGAAAUCCCGAGGCUCAACCUCGGAACUGCCUUUGAUACUGGAGAUCUUGAGUCCGGGAGAGGUGAGUGGAACUGCGAGUGUAGAGGUGAAAUUCGUAGAUAUUCGCAAGAACACCAGUGGCGAAGGCGGCUCACUGGCCCGGAACUGACGCUGAGGUGCGAAAGCGUGGGGAGCAAACAGG